CCUUACAUAAUGAAUUUAAAACACUUCUUGGACCAAAAUCAUUUAAUGGAACAACAUUCAUUUUCAUCUCAAUUUUUAUUAUAAUAUUAUUUAACAAUUUCAUAGGAUUAUUCCCUUAUAUUUUUACUAGAACAAGACAUUUAGCAUUAACAUUUGCAAUUGCCCUACCUAUAUGGUUAAGAUUUAUAUUAUUUGGAUGAAUUAACCAUACUAAUCAUAUAUUUACACACCUUGUACCACAAGGUACACCGCCUGCAUUAAUAUCAUUUAUAGUACUAAUUGAAACAAUUAGUAAUGUUAUUCGACCAGGUACAUUAGCAGUACGGUUGGCAGCAAAUAUAAUUGCAGGACACUUAUUAUUAACCUUAUUAGGAAACACAGGACCAUCUAUAGCAAUAAACUUAAUCUCAUUACUAAUUAUUGGACAAAUACUUCUAUUAAUUCUAGAAUCAGCAGUAGCAAUAAUUCAAGCCUAUGUUUUCUCAAUUCUAAGAACUCUAUAUUCUAGAGAAGUAUAUUAAACCUAUGUUAACAACUCACUCAAACCACCCAUUCCACUUAGUAGACUAUAGACCUUGACCAUUAACAGGAGCAAUCGGAGCAAUAGUCCUAGUAUCAGGACUAGCAAAAUGAUUCCACCUAUUUAAUAAUAACUUAUUCAUAAUUGGAUUUGGAAUUACCCUACUAACUAUAAUUCAAUGAUGAAGAGAUGUAGUACGAGAAGGAACUUAUCAAGGAUUACAUACAGGAUUUGUAUCAAUUGGAUUACGAUGAGGAAUAAUUUUAUUUAUUGCAUCAGAGGUAUUAUUUUUCGUUUCUUUUUUUUGUGCAUUCUUUAGAAGAAGAUUAGCACCAACAAUUGAACUAGGAAUACUAUGACCUCCAAUAGGAAUUCAACCCUUUAACCCUAUACAAAUUCCAUUACUUAAUACAGCUAUUCUUUUAGCAUCAGGAGUAACAGUAACAUGAGCACAUCAUAGUUUAAUGGAAUCUAAUCAUACUCAAGCAGUACAAGGAUUAUUCUUCACAGUGUUAUUAGGACUAUACUUUACAAUACUUCAAGCAUAUGAAUAUUGAGAAGCACCUUUUACCAUUGCAGAUGCAGUUUAUGGAUCAACAUUCUUUGUUGCAACAGGAUUCCAUGGUUUACACGUAAUUAUUGGAACAAUCUUUUUAUCAACAUGAUUCCAUGGUUUACACGUAAUUAUUGGAACAAUCUUUUUAUCAACAUGUCUACUUCGACACUCAAUAAAUCAAUUUUCACCAAGACAUCACUUUGGAUUUGAAGCAGCAGCAUGAUACUGACACUUCGUAGACGUAGUAUGAUUAUUCUUAUAUAUCUCUAUUUAUUGAUGAGGUAGAUAAUU